UUCGGAAAUGCUCUCGUGAGUGAGUCGCUCCCAUAUUGGGAUAGCUACACUGUGGGCGAUUUCUAAAAGAUCUCUUGCCUCUUGUGCUUCAGUGUGGAUACUCAUCUUGACUUUUUGUGCCUUCAUGGGGAGCGGCGUUCUCUCUACAUGCCGUGGAGGUUUCACAAAGUUGUUCCUUGUUUGUGACUGCUUCAGAUGAGUGUUGACAAACGGAGUUCUGAGACAGUAAUGUGUAAGGCUUGCGCCAUCACACGAAUUGAGCUCUGGGAACACCUUGUUGAGAAACAAGAUUAAGAAUAUCCAAGAAACUCGAGAACAGAGUUCAUGCUAUUCCUGAAAUGGAUUUGAACUGGAAACCUCCAUUCACUCAGUGGAAUACUGUGAUGACGGGCAUAGUUCUGACGAACACCAGUCAAGAAGGCAUGAGGAAAGAAGAGCCCAGAAAACCAGAACACAUCUGGUAACUCUUCAUCUAACCACCGUUGGAAGAAUUUUAGCCUAGAUGAAAAUUGUUGUCUUGGCUCAAAUCAAACUGUGGUGGUAGAAGAGCCAGGACCUCACAGGCCAGAUCUUUUAUCACUUGCAUGGCUGCAUCUUCCCUAUCCUUGCUGCUCAACUGAGGCUCCAGAUGCAGAAUACCACAAAACAGCUG